rnacentral:rRNA from 2 species
CAAGUCGAGCGGAAACGAUGGGAGCUUGCUCCCAGGCGUCGAGCGGCGGACGGGUGAGUAACGCGUAGGAAUCUACCCAGUAGAGGGGGAUAGCCCGGGGAAACUCGGAUUAAUACCGCAUACGCCCUAAGGGGGAAAGGCCGGGAUCUUCGGACCGGUCGCUAUUGGAUGAGCCUGCGUAAGAUUAGCUAGUUGGUAGGGUAAAGGCCUACCAAGGCGACGAUCUUUAGCUGGUCUGAGAGGAUGAUCAGCCACACUGGAACUGAGACACGGUCCAGACUCC